rnacentral:rRNA from 1 species
CGCGUAGGUGGUUCGUUAAGUUGGAUGUGAAAGCCCCGGGCUCAACCUGGGAACUGCAUCCAAAACUGGCGAGCUAGAGUACGGUAGAGGGUGGUGGAAUUUCCUGUGUAGCGGUGAAAUGCGUAGAUAUAGGAAGGAACACCAGUGGCGAAGGCGACCACCUGGACUGAUACUGACACUGAGGUGCGAAAGCGUGGGGAGGCAAAACA